rfam:Prevotella sp. CAG:255 genomic scaffold, scf162
CAAAGACGGGUAAGUCUUGUACGGCCAGCUCCCUUCGAAUCCUCCAGGACGGGAACGUAGCAAAGGUAGUUGGUUGUAGCGGCGCGAUACAAGUAGCUUGCCCACCC